CCGAGUUUACAACUCCCAAACCCCUGUGAACAUACCACUUGUUGCCUCGGUGGAUCAGCCCGCUCCCGGUAAAACGGGACGGCCCGCCAGAGGACCCCUAAACUCUGUUUCUAUAUGUAACUUCUGAGUAAAACCAUAAAUAAAUCA
rnacentral:misc_RNA from 1 species